rnacentral:rRNA from 1 species
GAUGAACGCUGGCGGCGUGCCUAAUACAUGCAAGUCGAGCGAACAGACGAGGAGCUUGCUCCUCUGACGUUAGAGGCGGACGGGUGAGUAACACGUGGAUAACCUACCUAUAAGACUGGGAUAACUUCGGGAAACCGGAGCUAAUACCGGAUAAUAUAUUGAACCGCAUGGUUCAAUAGUGAAAGACGGUUUUGCUGUCACUUAUAGAUGGAUCCGCGCCGCAUUAGCUAGUUGGUAAGGUAACGGCUUACCAAGGCAACGAUGCGUAGCCGACCUGAGAGGGUGAUCGGCCACACUGUAACUGAGACACGGUCCAGACUCCUACGGGAGGCAGCAGUAGGGAAUCUUCCGCAAAGGGCGAAAGCCUGACGGAGCAACGCCGCGUGAGUGAUGAAGGUCUUCUGAUCGUAAAACUCUGUUAUUAGGGAAGAUCAAAUGUGUAAGUAACUAUGCACGUCUUGACGGUACCUAAUCAGAAAGCCACGGCUAACUACGUG